GGAACAUGAACAGUGGUAUCAAGUAUGCACUCAGCAGGUGUGCUGAUGACAGCAAGCUAAGGGUUGCAGUCGACAGACUGGAGGGAAGUGGUGCCAUACAGAAGGACCUUCACAGGCUUGAGAGGUGGACCGGUGCGAACCUUGUGAACAUUGUGAAGUUCAGCGAGACCAAGUGCAAGAUCCUACACCUGGUUCAAGGAAAUCCCAAGUACAUACACAGACUGGGCAGAGACUGGAGUGAGAGCAAAGCCCUGAAGAGAAGGACUCAGAGGUGUUGAUACACACAGCUGAUCUAGAAAACUUCCACUCUGUUUUCUCUUCUCAUGGACAUCUCAUAACUGACACCAAUUCCAGUAAAGGACCAGGAAUCUUUCAUGGAAGAGAAGGUUCUUACAGUAUCUGCCUCCAGGACAGAGAGAUAGGGUGGCCAACUGAUGUCUGACGGAUCCCAACUACAGUAAUUUUUUACUCUUCAGUGACAUAUAUAUAAAUGCUUUAGACCUAAUUGUUUGAUGAUCAAGAAGGUUACUGACAUGCAGCAGAGAGAAAG